AAAACAAUCAUAAAAAAACUUUUGGUGACCGGGUUAGCUCAGUUGCUAGAGCCGGCGCACACAUAUAGAGGUGUACUCCUCGACGCGGUGGCCGUGGGGUUGACUCCG